AAAACCUAUAAGCGAGGUCCCAGCCAGCUCCCGAAGCGACCCAUUCCUGUUGACCGCCGCCCACUGAUUGCACCCGAGGGGGAUAAGAACUGGAUACUUGUGGAGGAUGGGGGCGAGGCUCGCAAUGUCAAUGGGAUCCUAGGACUUUUGUGCAGGGAACACUUCCCUGGCCUAGUGUACAAGUCAGAGGAGGAUGUGGACGGAGAGAUACCCUCGUUCGACCAGUACGCUCUCUUCCCCGCCAGUGCUCCAUAUAGAAACUUGGCGGAUCAGGUGAUUUCAGAGUUGUGGGAAUUCUUCAGAUGCCAGCCGGGA